CCGAACUGAAUUUUUUGCCCAUGCACAUCCCUAGUUUCCCCUAUGCUUGAAAGUAAAUAACUGUUUAAUUGUGGACAAUACCCUAUACUGUGGUCAGUAGACUAUUUUAUAAGGAGAUAUCAUUACCCACACACACACAAAAUUCUGGGAUCUUUAAGGUGGGAUUUUAUGUAUUUUCAUAAAAGUCUUUUGCUGUCUGUUACUUUUUAUAUUUUACAUUAUGCGUAGUCUUUUUUUUUUUUCUAGAUGUCUAGUCCUACCGCUCUGUACAAACUGGAAAAUAAAAAUUG